GACAGAGGCCUCGAGCGUUAGGCGGAAUCACUGGGCGUAAAGCGUCUGCAGGUGGUUUCCUAAGUCCACUGUUAAACCUUGAGGCUCAACCUCAAAUCUGCAUUGGAAACUAGGAGACUUGAGUAUAGUAGGGGUAGAGGGAAUUUCCAGUGGAGCGGUGAAAUGCGUAGAUAUUGGAAAGAACACCGAUGGCGAAGGCACUCUACUGGGCUAUUACUGACACUCAGAGACGAAAGCUAGGGGAGCAAAUGGG
rnacentral:rRNA from 1 species